GUCCUUGGGAUAGCUCAGUCGGCAGAGCAUGAAACUCUUAAAUCUCAGGGUCGUGGGUUCGAGUCUCACAUCGGGCA